rnacentral:rRNA from 1 species
ACUCCUACGGGAGGCAGCAGUGGGGAAUCUUGGACAAUGGGGGCGAAACCCUGAUCCAGCCAUGCCGCGUGAGUGAUGAAGGCCUUAGGGUCGUAAAGCUCUUUCGCCUGUGAUGAUAAUGACAGUAGCAGGUAAAGAAACCCCGGCUAACUCCGUGCCAGCAGCCGCGGUAAUACGGAGGGGUUAGCGUUGUUUGGAAUUACUGGGGCGUAAAGCGCGCGUAGGCGGAUUAGUCAGUUAGAGGUGAAAUCCCAGGGCUCAACCCUGGAACUGCCUUUAAUACUGCUAGUCUUGAGUUCGAGAGAGGUGAGUGGAAUUCCGAGUGUAGAGGUGAAAUUCGUAGAUAUUCGGAGGAACACCAGUGGCGAAGGCGGCUCACUGGCUCGAUACUGACGCUGAGGUGCGAAAGUGUGGGGAGCAAACAGGAUUAGAUACCCUGGUAGGAGUAGCG